UACGUAGGGGGCAAGCGUUGUCCGGAAUCAUUGGGCGUAAAGCGCGUGUAGGCGGUCCGGUAAGUCCGCUGUGAAAGUCGGGGGGCUCAACCCUCGAAUGCCGGUGGAUACUGUCGGGCUAGAGUGCGGGAGAGGCGAGUGGAAUUCCUGGUGUGAGCGGUGAAAUGCGCAGAUAUCAGGAGGAACACCAGUGGCGAAGGCGGUGCUCUGGGCCGGAACUGACGCUGAGGAGCGAAAGCGUGGGGAGCAAACAGG
rnacentral:rRNA from 1 species